UGAGUUUUGUAUAUUAUGAAAACGAAAGAUUAUAUCUUAUAAAGUUCUAGAUAAAUAAUUGAUAAUGACAGUUUAUUAUCUAUGUGUCUUGGCAAAAUUUUGUGCCAGCAGCCGCGGUAAUACAAAGGAGACUAGUGUUAUUCAUCUUUAUUAGGUUUAAAGGGUACCUAGACGGCUUUUCUAACACCUUAAGUAGGAAUGAUACAGAUUAGCUAGAGUUUUAUGUAAAAGGGAAAUAAGGAAUUAAAAGUGUAGAGAUAAAAUUUAUUAAUACUUUUAGGACAGACAAAGGCAAAAGCAAACCUUUAUGUAAAAACUGACGUUGAGGGACGAAGGCAUUGCGUAACGAACAGGAUUAGAUACCCCAGUAGUCUUUGCAGAAAAUGAUAAAUGUCAUAGGUUUGAAUUUUUAUUUUUAGAUCUAUAAAUGAAAGUGUAAGCAUUUCACCUCAUGAGUAAUGUGGCAACGCAGGAAUUGAAAUCAUUAGACCGUAUCUGAAAACAGUAGUGAAGUAUGUUGUUUAAUCCGAUGAUCCGCGAAAAACCUUACCACAAUUUGAAUAUUAAUGAAAAUUUAGUUAAUACAGGCACUGCAUGGUUGUCUUUAGUUGAUGUCGUGAGAUUUGGAACUCCUUUAAUCAACGAAAACCCUUUCUUUAUUUUUUUUAUAAAGGCGUUCUCCGUUACAUGAGAUAAGAUAACAGGGAU
rnacentral:rRNA from 1 species